AAAUAAAAAAGCAUUUGAAAAGAAUCUAGUCCAGAAAGAACUUCAUUUCUUUAUUAAAUCUAAUGCUUACACAAAGCUAAACCAAACAAAUAAUAAUAAGGGCAUACAUAACAUAAGCUUACUUUUUGUUCUCAUCCAAAAUUAAUGCAUAAUAUUCUACACGUGAGAAAAAAAAUACAGAAAAAUGGCUUCUGUUAGCAUUUAGAAAACCCUGACAGAGAGAAUAACAGGACCAAAACCUUGAAAAGUCAAUAUUUAGUAUUUCCACACAUGAUCGCCACUGUGUCUCACUUGUAAAACCACUGUUUUCGUCCGAUUAGCCCAGCUUCAUGCAAUUAAAGGCUAUUUUCGUACUUUUUCUUCAGACGGUUCAACAUUCUGUAAUAACAAGGAGUCAACAAGAUGGGGAACCUUGCCUCCAUAGAUGUCUUAUGUUGUUAAUCACAUAUCAAGUUCAACUCUUUGAUUUUUGGGAGCGUGAUGAUCAUGUCUUCAUCCUCACUAGCAUCACUUUCCAAAGAAGACAACUCUUUGAUAUUGCAAAAGAUCAACUCAAGAUUUCCAGAUUGUAAAAAACCGUUGAAGGAAACAAAUUGGAGAAGUAGUUUAUUUAUCCGAAUCGCUAGUAAUCCGAAGAAAUUUUAUAUUGCAAAACAAGUGGGCUGCAAACUAGCCAUCACUUAUCAUCUCGUUAUCAUCGAUGCUAAAUAAAAUUUGGUCCAAUUGGGGACAACGUAAGAAAAACAAGCAAGAACUGUCGACUAAUUAAUUUAGAAUUUCAUUAAAAAUAUAGGAAGGCCUAACACAACAAAUACUCAAAACAUAGAAGAGAAGCCUAUAAACAAACUAUGAAAUCAAUAGUAUGUAUUUGUAUCUUUUUAAUUUCUAUAUUAAGAAUAUGCAUAUUAGAUUUUUUUUUAGUAAAUUAAUAAUCUACGCGACUAGCGCGACUCAAAUUUAGACCACACUUACAGCGGUGAACACCUUUGACUAUAAGACCAUCACAUCUGAUUUAUAUUUUUUUUUUUUAGAUGCAAGAUAAUUUAUUAAUCAGGACGGUAAUAAGUUUUACAAGGAAAAAAAUUUAAACUAUUGGGGAUUGUUACUUAGACAAGGAAAAAUAUGAAGUCAGUGAUUAUUUUCUAUAUUUAAAUGAAAAUUUGGAUGCAUUAGGUUGGAUGUUGAAUUUGGGAUUCUACAUGCCCAAAUAUCUUAAACUUCCCAUGCUUGUAUGUCUUUAACUGCUUUUAACACGGGCCAUAUUGUUGUAUGCAUUCUUGGGAAGAAACACACGAGGUUUGCUUCCAAAGCUCAACAUACGAAAACUGAUUAAAUUCAACCAAAUUUCCUCUUAGUUUGAUCUUUCUAACAAUCUUUGAAACAAUCUCCUCUACCCCACAACUAUAAACGCUAAUCCUUCCAAGAUGCUGAAGAUUUCUAGACACUAAAAACGGAAAUAGAGUUUUCAAACUUCAACAUUCCCAAACACAUACUAUUCUCAAAGAUUUUCAAAAGAAAUAUUUUUAUUGAGAUCCUUCAGUUUGGCAAGCCAAAGAGAGACACUUCUCUUAAUUGACUGCCUAUCGCAUACGUUUCUUCAAAAUCUUACCAUGAAUUUCUCCAAUAGUUGGAAAACACCCAAUAGUAAAGACGGAAAAAUGUUCUAACUCUUUCAGCAGAGGAAAGGAAUGUUUAUGAAUUUGGCUAUACCAUAUUCUCUUUACAUUCCUAGCUAAUGAUCAAAAGAGCUAAUUACAACGAUUAUUGUAUCAGUGAAUUUAUAGAGUCAUCUUAGAAAUAAAAGUAUAUAAAAUGUGAGCUCAUUGACAUCUAGACGAAGACAUCUGCAAAUCGUAUCAUUAAGAUAAUUAGAAUCAUUGUUGAUUAGCGAGGAAUGUAAGUGAAUUGAUAUUAAAUUAUCAUCUGUUGAAUAUAUGAUUUCCUAUUUAAGUUUUCUACUCUUAAUUUUUUGUUUUAGGCAACCAAAAAACAUGUAUGUUUCAAUGAAAAUGUAUUUGCAAACUUAUAUCUUUAUUCCAAUAAUCAUUUUUUAAUUAUAUACUUUUAAAUUUUACACCAUCUCAUCUGCUUCAUUUCAAAUGAGAUAAUACAAUUUAGCAUUUUCGUUGAAUCUUAAUUCUCAAUAUAUCUCACUUGAAAGGGGGAAAAGGAAAGAAAGCGAAAAAGAAAAAGAAAAGUAAAAACAUUUUAUUUUAAUUUUAUUCGAUGGCUUAUGUUUAUUUAAAUUUAAUUUAAUUUAUUAUAUUAGUGACAUCGUUAUUUAUUUAAAAAAUAGUAUGCUUUAAUUAAUUACUAUUUAAUAGUCAUUACUCAUGUUUUUAUUCUGAAAAAUAAAUACCAAAAAUGAAAAUCCAUUUUCAAAAAUAGAUUUUCAUUUUCAUUUGACAAACAUAUUUUUGAAUUAAAAAUAAAAAAAUAUUUUCUAAAAAUGAAAAUAAAAAAUACUUUAUCAAACCAAACGAAAUAUUAAUUUUUUUUGUAAAAUAAAAAUUGAAGUAUUUUUUAUUUUUUAAUAUUUUACUAUUUAAUUUCAUUUUUAAUUAUUAAAAUCAAAUAAUCAAAUCAUGUAAAAUGGGUAAAAUAAAAUAAAAUUGUGUGGUAAUACUCCAUUAAAAUUUCAAUUUUAAUUACAAACUUCAAUGAAAUAAUAGAAGAGCCGAUAUCUACUUUUAUGGCUUCAAUCCAAAAUCUUUCUAAUACUUAUGCUAAGAAAUUAGUUAAUUGAAAAUUAUUUUAUUGAGUUGGUGUUACUCAUCAAUACAGUUUCGACGUAGUUCUAAUAAAAAUAUGUGAAAAAGGAUUGUAUGAAACAGGAAUACUAUCACUUUCCAAUAGUUUUAUGUAAAAUAGCAAUUUCAUCCUUAAUUUUAGAAUUUUCAUUUAAAUUUGAUAUUUUUCAGGGUGAAAAUAUUGAAAUUCAGAAUAAAGAUGCUGAAGUGACAUAAAACAAUUGGAAAAGGGAUACAGAUGACGAAACAUCCCGGUUUCAUACAAUCUUUUCUCAAAAUAUGGAUAUGAUGAUAUUUGAAUUCAUGCCAAUUGGAUUAUUAAAAAAAUUUAAAGGCUCAACUUAUAUUAAAAAUAAUUAUUUAAAUUUAUUCUUUUAUCUAAUUAUUGUUUAGAUGCUAUGUACACUUAAAUAUUGUAAUUAUUAAACUUUAUUUUACUAAACUAAUAUUUAAAUACUACAUUGUAUUAAAAUACCAAAUGUAUAAAAGAAACUGUUGGGGAUCAUAAAAUAAAAAUUUUCAACACUGAAAGCGACCCAGAAGAAAAUUUACAAAACUUAGCCCCCUAUCAGCAAAUUUAACAAGUGCCUUAAAACGCUAUCGUAAAACAAAUUACACGUCAUAAUUAGAUGUAUAUCUUUUUCAAUCAGUUUAACAACUGUUGUUCGCAUAAUUGCUUCACGGUGACAUUAAGGUCACCUGCCCAAUGUCCCUUAAAAUUUAACAUGCAAAGUUGUAAGAUCUUUAAAAGAUGAGGAAGCACAUGAUAGAUUAAGUAAGCUAUAUUGGUAAACUUGAAGAGUUUGAAAAUUAGCACAAAUGUGGUGGAGGGGAGAGCCUUGCUUCUAUAGAUAUGUUAUCUUAUCAACACCUUGCAACGCUAACUGUUUAAUCCUCGGGAGCAUCAUUACCACGUCUCUCUCCUCACCAAUAUCACCUUCGUGAGGAGAAAAAUCUUGAAAAUUGCAAGAAAACAUCUGAAGCUUUUCCAAACUGGAAAAUCUUUGAAAAAAAAUGGAACGAAAAACUGCUACUUCAUUGAGGUAUUCAGUGACUUCAACACAUUUUAUAUGAGAGAACAUGUCAAUCGCAAACUGGCCUUCACUGAUCAUUGCAAUGUCAUCACUAGUAAAUGAACUUCUUCCACUUGAGGGAUAAUUAAUCUGAGAAGUCAACAACUAAAAACGAUCAUAUAUCUGUCUGGUUUUUAAAUUGCAGAGGAAUAGGAAAGUCUGAUACAAUUACGAGCCAAUAAAUGAAUCAAUAAAUUUAAAAGAAAAAUAUGCAUUACUUAAUUCUGAACUUUUCAAUGCUUGAUUUUGGUUCCACAAAACGUUUUCAGUAGCAUUUCCUUUCCGUAACUGUUAAUAUUUGGCUUGCUGUCUCUUUUUUAAAAUCUUUAUCUUUUAAUAUUUUACUGUAUCUUAUAAGACAUGUGUCAUACCUUGAUUCUAUUUGUGGAGUCUGAAAAAUUUAUUAAUAGUGUAUUAAAUAUUUUCUCUUUCCAUAAAACAUACUUCCUUUUUUUUACGUAUGCCAUAGGCAGGAGUGUUUUGUUUUAAAAACAUCACAAAAUUUGUAGGGUAAACUACACUUGAGGUUAUUAAACUAUUAACAAAUUUAUGUUUUGAUCAUUUAAUUUCAAAAAAUUAUAAAGUGGUUACUCAACUAUUCAAAAGUUUUCAUUUAAGUUAUCUGGCUAUUAAUUAAAUCACUACUAUAUGACUUUCUUUGUUCCCACUAAUCAAAAGCUCUCCUUCGCCUUCUUUUCUACAAUUUAAUUUUUUAUAAAACAACUUUGAACAUCAUUAAUCUACAAACCAAAAUCUAAAUAUCCUUCUUCUUUGAUCUCCAACAUUGAUCGUCAGAGUAACUUAGAUGUAAGGUAUGUUCUUUUACUUGUCUAUGUGUAUUGAUCCACUGUAUUGAUUGUUGAAUUUUCACUUAGAGCUUGCUAGUAGAACUUUAAAAAAAAAAACUUUAAUAGCCCAAUGAAUUAAAUAAAAAUUUUUAAAUGAUUCCGUGACCAUUUCAUGACACUUUAAAAUUGAAUAACCAAAACAUAAAUUUAUUAAUAAUUUAAUGACCUUUAAGUAUAAAUAACUUUUUUUUAUUUUUCUUGCUCGGUCUGAUUAUUUGUAUUCCAUAAACCAUCAUGGCGUGAUUGGGAGCACAUUGGCCAAUAUUUUAUAUGAUAAAAGAUGGGUAGAGAAAGAGAAACGGGAAAGAAAGAUAGCAAAAAUUGUGAUAAUGAUAUCUGUCUAAUGGGUAUGAAUGUUAUAAUGUGAUGAACUAGGUUUGAAUCUAAAUUUUCUCAUUCUCCUUAAAAAUGUAUUGUAUUUUACCACUGCACUCAGCAUAAUUUAUUGGUAAAAAGUCUCCUGUUAACAGGACCAAAUUGUCUGAAAACACAAAGAAUGCUUGAAAUACAAUGCCAAGAAUAUAAAACGAUCAAAUCUCCAAAGUCAAGAUUCAGUACUUAUACACAAGAAAGAACCUCUUUAAAAUACCUCACCUUUUGGCUUUUCAUUUCGAAAUCAUCAUCUCACUUUAAUUAUUCAAGGAACAUGAUCCUCCUUAUGUCCACCAUUUUUGUCCGUCUCUUCAGACACCUAACAUUCUGUAAUAACAAGGAGUCA
rnacentral:lncRNA from 1 species